GCAAAGGGCGAGGUGAAAGACAAAACUUCAUGGUUCCCUCGCUACGCAACAGUUUGGCAGUGCUAUACAAAAACAUGCUGAAACCAACCCCACCAAGCGUUUAAAAAGGCCCCUCAAACGUACACUGGGGCAUGAUGUGUAAGAAGCGGAAGACGGUAAGCGCACAGCAUAUUCCCAUAAGGAUCGCCCUGCGCCUUCACUGCCCCCACGUGGCACAGCGCGAGCCCCGCCCUUUCCGCUUGGUGCCUCGGAGGGCGACGCUGAGGGAGCUUAAUUUCGAGGUGAGAACUGUGAGUAACGGUAAGCAAUAUGAAAAAUAUGGUAGUCAGCUUUUAAAGUACACUGCUCAGGUGAACUACUAAACCCUGACAGAUUUCCAUCGCAGUGGACAGCUGCUCCCUCAAGAGGUUUUUGCUCUGAGGGAAUUGACUGAGGCACUCCCUGUCCGGAAGGACUUAGUCCAGGCAGAAGUUCAGACAGGAAUGGGUUACGGAACGAAAAAUCAGCCUGUGGGCUGCUUGUCGGCCACCCAGCUCUCGCCGUGGCAGGAGUGCGGAGAGGCGUCGCAGAAACUAGAAGGAGAGGAAAGGCCUCCGGGUUCUGACUUCUGCGGACUCGGGUCGAAAGCCGGCUCUGAGCCUCACCACCUCACAGAAAGGUCGGCCGGUCUGCGGGUCCAGGCGUGCCCCCAAGGAGGUGCCCUCAGACUGGGAAACAGUGGAACGUGGUUCCCGGGCUGCCUACCGGCCUCCCAUUUAACCGCAUGGUAUGUGAAUAUGUGGUGCCUCCCACUACCGCACAUCCUUGGUAUUAAGAGAUGAUGCUGGCAGAUAGCGCCCUUGUCACAAAUUUUUUUAAAGGGGGAGAGGCACAGACCAGGGUGAUAGCAGUCGCUGUCAUCUAUGCAAAAUAAGGGGAGAUUAUACAUACGUAUUUAUUUUGUUUGUAACACGUAUUUUCACAUCUGUGAAACGAGGUUGGAAAUAAUAGUACCUACCGAAAGUGGUGUUGAGGAGAGUAAAUGAGUUAAGAUAGGUUUAAGCGUCCAGAGCAAUGCCUGGCAGAGUAAAUGCAGGCAAACUUAAACUACCUAGCUCUUGUUUUAGGUCUUGGGGGAUACAGCUGUGAGCAAGACGGUGAGGACUUGGUGUUCUUGGAGUGUACAUUUGAUGGGGUGGUGUAGAAGAUGUAACAAAACACAAGCUGCUUUAACAAUACUCUGGUACUGCUUUCUCCGCAGAGCUAGAUAUACCCCCUCCCCCCAAAAAAGCUUUUAAGAUGUAAAGAGAAAACGGAAUGAAUUCUUCUCAUCUUUUUAGACAUUUUAUAUCCCAAUUUCUCUAGAGUCUUUAUCUGGAAGUUUCUAGUCAAAACAAUCAGACUUUUGAGUUCUACAUACUCCUCUUGAAGUUCUUUCAGUGAGGACCAAAUAUCAGUGAAAACAUUCUUUCCAAAAGCUACCACGGGUAGAUUUUAAGAACAACGUCAAGAACAAAUAGUUCUGGAUAUUUCAUGUUUUUUUUCUUGAAAUAACUUUUAUGAAUCUAGUCCUUCAAAGAUGGCCAAGCAAAUUGGACAUUUUUAGUAUAAGUUUGCUAUGUGUAGCUGGAUUUUUGGUAAGUUUUGCUUAAAGUAUUUCUUUUUUUUUUUUUGCUUAAAGUAUUUCAAAACAAGCAGGGAUGUUGGUGCUUGCAUUUUGACAUUUCAUGGUCUAUGUGUUUUAAGCUUCAAUGCAUUAAAUUCUGCUGAAAGUUUUAAUUUAUGAAAUUUUAAAGUACAGAUUCUCUUUAGGUGGUGUUUCAAAAUCAGAGGGUUGUUUUGUCAUUGGUGUUCCAAAAUCAGUUCUGUCCAUAAAUUCAGCUGAAUACAGUUGACAACCAAGGAACCUCAGUAUGUAACAGAAAAUACUCUUCAACAGCAUUCUGAACAGAUCUUCAAAAAUCAAGGCAAACUGGGAUUGAAUCUACCAUUUUUCACAAAGGUUAACUGACAGAAAGGUGAAGAUUUCCAGUAGAUUAUGGGCCAGUUGAUGGAAGCUGAUGCCUGGUGGUGAUUGCUACAGUACAUCUUAAACACAGUUUUCUUCAGUUUUUGCCAAAAACCCAGAUUUAAAACACUACUGUAAUGGAUACCCUUAUAAUAUUAUAGUUUUCCUCCAACUCAGUUCAUUUGCUACAGCUUCAAAAAUACUGUCUUUAGUGGUCAAGUAUUAGGCUUAUGAAACCAGCACACUCAAGAGUUUUUAAAGCCUAUUUUAAACAUAAGCAAAGCACAUUUUUAUCAGAUUCUUCUCAACUAAGCAAAGAAGGCUGAGCUGAUGUUUUUAAAACAUGAAGUUUGAUAUACUCAGUCAUCAAUCCAGAGUUAAGACUGCAGAAGUAGAUGAAGAAAGUCUGGAAUUCCUCAAUUUCCUCUCAAAGUUGUGGCAGCACUUGGAAUGCUAGGCUUCACAAGUUUCUCCAUUUUUUUCUCCUUUGCAAUUAAAAGGGCUAUUUAAUACUAUGCUUUCAUAGCCUUUGAAGAUUGCUGUUAAUAUUCCAAUACUGUCCAAUCUUAAAGCUGCAGAGAAUUGUGCUUUGCAGAAUACUCCACUGUUGUUAUAGCAUAAAUUUAACAGUGUUUGGCAUGGUGUCACUGCCCAACAUUUUCAGGUAACUCAGCUGAAGAAGUUCACCCUAUCUUCUGCGUCAUAACGUGAAUAUAUACUUGAUAAAAGCCUCAAAAAAUUUUUUGGCUGCCAUCUUUACCUACCUCAAAGGAGAAAACAGAAAAAGGAGUACCGAUGGUGGAAGCAUCUGGUCCUUCUUGGAGAACGAUGAGUGAUUUUAUUGGCGGCAGCUGGGUGGCAGAGCAAUAUAGGCAUCCAGUUAUGCCUGAGCCCCAAGAAGUGAAAUCUUUGUUCAUUUCCUUUUUAUACACCCAUCUGCCGCCUAAAACCUGACACCAUUUAAUGGUGCCCUUGGUCAAAUCUAUAAAUGAUCUUACUUUCAUAAUCCUCUGAUUCUAGCUUGAAGAGUCAAGAUGAACUCUAACUCAUGGGAUGGACAAAAUGGGAGAUGCAAAUAAGUAAGCUUUUCAGAGCUAAAAAGCCUCUUUUUAUACAAAAUUAAACUUUAAAAGAACAUUGACCUCAAAACAACAUAACUAUCUUGGAUAUGCUAUAAAAAUAGCAGUAUGUUCCCACCCACAGUGAACAUCUGCAGCUACCCAACCUGUCAUACCUCAUUAAUUAUAGGCCUUACUCUGAAUGCUGCUUGUUCUAUCUUUGUACUCCCACCAGCCAAGGAGUUCUUUCCAACUUUAUUUCUUAUGAAAUGUUUUUUCUUUUUAACAUUAUACACUAUAAUUUUGUAAACUAUAACUCUUCGCCAUAUCUGCAAUGCUAAUAUAAUUUGUGAGGGAGAGAAUGCCUUUCUCUCCUAUUCCUAAAAAUCACUGACUAUUCCUUGAGUCUGUGAGUGACAACACUCUACUCAGUCCCUAAAACUAAAAAGCAUGCUUACCUCCAAAGUAGAUAAAAAAUGUGUUGAAUUGGUAGCUGACAAAAAUUCACUGUACCCAGAACUGUGUGAUGGAUAAUGCAUAAUAUUAAAUAAACCAUUAUACAAAAAUAGUUUAUUAUAAUGAUUAUUAUUAUGAGAGUUUAUUCAGUAAAAUUCUAAAUUAUGCUACUGUAAUGUUAUAUGUUGAGCAAUGAAAGGCAGUAACAAAACUAUGUCAUCAAUUACUAAGUUUAUACAUACAUAAAAAAUUUUUACCUCUUCAAUGUAAUUCCUAUGUUUGGCAACACCAUCUACCUAAAUUCUGGUAUAUGGUUGAACAUAAAAGUUUUAUUUCCCUUUAAAUAUUCUAUAUUUUGAAAGGGUUUAUCCCCAAUUUGUUUUACUUGGUUUUGGGGUUUAUAUUUACUGGUAUGCUUUAUAAGUAAGAGUGUUCUCUGGCUUCCCUGGUUGAAAAGACCAUCUCUUUUCUCCUGUCUAAAUUGGCUUUCAAUUAAAAUUUCAGUUUUGAAAUCCUUUCAGAAAAUUCUAACAGAGGAUUGAAAGGUUACGUUCUUACAUCAGCUUCAGUGUACUAAAACCCAGAAGUACAGGACAUAGUUUCUCGGGGCAGCAACCUUUGUUACCCUGGGGAAAGCAUGGUGCUAGGGUUUGUGCUUAAAGUCAAGUUCGUUUGAUGAAAUUAGCAGUGAUUUGUAGUUAAGAUUUGUGUCUUAUGUGUCCACUUACCAGUAACUGUAAGUUGGAAGAGUAUGAUAGUAGCUAAUGUACGAUGUCUUAGGACAGUGUUCUGUUUAUGUUUUGACUGCAAUCCAGAGUAAGCAAUACAUUUUACUCUCAGACCAAGUAUACACACAUGUACAUAAAUUUAAAAGUUUCAUAAGACAGUGUUUACCUUAAUAUGUUCCAUGCACUCUGAUAUAUUCUGUUUAAUAUUAAAAUAAUGCUGGGCAUGACCCAUUUAUUUUAAGACCCACUAAUUGGUCAACCCCCACAAUUUGAAAACCACUGCUAUAGGAGAACAUGAGGAAAUAUUUUAUAAACUGUAAAGUACACUGAAAUGUGUAUGCAGCUGCUAAUGAAUAUCCAGGAUAAGACUUUUACGGGCCUGAGACAUUCUCUCCUUCCUUGGGUACUGCUAGGAGUCACAUUCACCUAGGCUUUUGGUAAGGAAGACAGUAUUCAAACUGUCAUUGAGACAACUCUGUAGUAACUCGGCAAUGUAUUAACCAAAUCAGAACCCAAAGAAAAGAAGACAAGUUAGAGGAAUAUGAAAAAAAGCAUACAUCUGCUUAGUGCUUUAUGGUUUAUAAAAUACUUUCACAUACAUGAUCUCUUAAUCUUAAGCCUAGGGGAAAAUAAGCUAAGAGGUAGAGACCUGCCCAAGAUUAGACAGUAAGUGGCAGAGCCAGGUCAUCUGUUCCUAAAUCCCUCACUCCUUUCACUGUGAUAAAAUACCAGGAAAGGAGAGUGAUCAGGGCAUGAGGCUUCUGAUCCAUCAAAAAGAUGUUUAUGUCCUCUGCCUCCCUCUGUAGGGAAAACAGACCCUACUGAUGGGUGAGGAAGCAACCUCAGACUUUGGGAAGGGGGUGUGUCCAGUUGCACUUAAUUUGUCCAGGACUCAAACCUGGCAUUUCAGCCUAUCAAUACCAGUCAUGUUUUUUUGUAUGUGUGUUUUUUCUCCAGUCAUCUGUUUUGACACUGCUCUGAGUUCCCAAAUGUCUAUUAUCUACAAGUAUUAUGGCUUUCCAUUCCUAUGUGUUAAGGGUCCUGGGAUCUUGGUCACGUACACACUCAGGACUCAACAGAGGGAAAUCAAAUACUAGGGAUAUGUCACCUAUACUCAGAUUCAAAGGGAAUAACAGUAGUAAGCUUCUGGUGACUGUUGUGUCUUUGCUUAGCUUCCCCGGGGAAGCCAGUCGGCCUCAACCAAUUUGUCUCCUUUCUCUACAUAUGCCCAUCUCCAUUAUUGUGCCCU